CUUCAAGCUUUUCAAUCUUGCCGAGCACUCCUUCAGCUGCUGUCCAUCUUCAAACGUCGGUCUCCCCUUUCCUCAUAACCGGAACAAGCUGCCUUGUCUUCAUUUGUUAGUUUCGUCCGAAACUCAACUCAAACCCACCGAAAUUCUCAACUCUAGCUCUCGCUGUUCACUGUCCACCGAACGAAAUCUCCACGCCAGCCUCACCAUCGAAAUCUUUUGCUCAUCUUUAGCCGCAGCCAUCCACGCGUCCGAGUCCCAUCUCAUUCGGUCCAUCAGCUUGCCGUGAAGCCGUGAGAUCUACCGAGCUGCCACCUGCCGACUACUUGGCCUGCUUCAGUCAACAACAG
rnacentral:lncRNA from 1 species